rnacentral:tRNA from 1 species
GGAUUGAGGCUCAGUGGUAGAGCUCUUGCCUAGCAUGUGUGAGGCACUGGGUUCAAUUCUCAGCACCA